GUCAAUGAAGGCUUGUUUUCAAUGAGGCCUGUGCGUGCGUUCCCGGGAGAUCUCUCAAGAGGGGAAGGAUGCGUGAGCACGGAAACGAAUGGAAACGAGAGACAGAGCCUCCUGAUUAUCUUGCAGUCUCAAAAAUAUAUAACGCCUCCCACCCACCAGAAGCCCUAAACAGGAAGCACUGGUUGGCAAAUGGACAGGGCCGUUUCCGUAGCGACAAAGGGAGCGUAAAAGCCCUCCUUGCAGUGUCUGCUCCGGCUCACAUUGUACCUUCUUAACUGGA